rnacentral:rRNA from 1 species
CAGCCGCCGCGGUAAAACGGAGGGGGCUAGCGUUGUUCGGAAUUACUGGGCGUAAAGCGUGCGCAGGCGGUUAUAUAAGACAGAUGUGAAAUCCCCGGGCUCAACCCUGGAAUUGCCUUUAAGACUGCCGAGCUAGUAGGUGAGAGAGGUGAGUGGAAUUCCGAGUGUAGAGGUGAAAUUCGUAGAUAUUCGGAAGAACACCAGUGGCGAAGGCGGCUCACUGGCUCAUUCUAGACGCUGAGGUGCGAAAGCGUGGGGAGCAAACAGGAUUAGAUACCCGCGUAGUCCCUGUCUCUUAUAC